rnacentral:rRNA from 1 species
GGUUCCGUUGUGAAAGGCGCUGUAAGGCGCCACUAAAAGAUGAGGGUGCGGAACAUUAGUUAGUUGGUGAGGUAAUGGCCCACCAAGACUAUGAUGUUUAGCCGGGUCGAGAGACUGAACGGCCACAUUGGGACUGAGAUACGGCCCAAACUCCUACGGGAGGCAGCAGUAGGGAAUAUUCCACAAUGAGCGAAAGCUUGAUGGAGCGACACAGCGUGCACGAUGAAGGUCUUCGGAUUGUAAAGUGCUGUUAUAAGGGAAGAACAUUUGCAAUAGGAAAUGAUUGCAGACUGACGGUACC